UUUUCUUCUGCUGAAAAGCUAAUUUAUUCUGAGCUCUUGGUUUUUUUUGUUCAUGUGCCUAAUGUAUGUUUUGAGGAGAAGUUAACUGCAAGUUGUUAAAGCGCCUUUUGAUUCUGCCAUCAAACCAAAUAGCCACAGGCAGCCAGCACUGGUGCAAGUAGCCUAGCUGGAGUCAUUGUUGAACGUGAAUGCAGCUGUCCCAUAGCACUUGUACAGGAGUCUCUGUUGAAAGUGCAACAACUUUCUACAGAUUCGAGGGCUGGAAUCUGACCCCUGGUUGUACUGACACUUGUGUGCUUUGUAGAGCUGUGAACUGAUAUUCCUUUGGUCUUGCUCCGAGUGGGCUGUGUCCACGCUGGUGUAUGGCCUUGUUCCGAGCUGUGGAGGAUGCGAAGGAAUCUGGAGAGACUGCCGCUUCUUUCUGCUCUCAACCCUCUCUCCCUGCUCCCCUCCAUUUUCAAGCUUUCUAAAGGGCAAUAUUUCAACACUAAUGUUGUUUCUCAGCAGGGUGUGCAGUGGUGGCUCUGGACCCAGGGGAGCGUGUGGCUGCCAGAUGGGAAUAUGUGGAUGGGCUGCUCCUGCCCCCUGCCCAGCGAGGAUGAGGAUGGAGCAAGGCAGGAGGAGGAUGGGCUGCUGCUCCCAGCUGCUGAAGGGGAAACCUCUGUCCCUGGUGUGUCAUCUGUAGGUGACCCCCUGGGCUAGGAGAGCUGCUCCAGCUGCCGUGGCUGCAGGCACCAUGCCUGUGGCUGCUGGGCUGCCCAGUCUCAGGUCAAAGGGGGUGCAAAAUGCUUUAGUGGUCCAGCGUGUCCUCUCAGCUGAAGAACAGGGAAGAAUGGAAGACAAUGGGGUUGGAGCUCUCCGAGGGCAUUUCCACUGCAGACUGUGAUCCUCCUGCUCCAUCAAGCCCUCGGAUUGGUGCAGCAGGGGCUGGGUCAAGCUUCACAAACUCACCUUUCAACACAGUUUUUGAUUCGCAAGGUUUCUU
rnacentral:lncRNA from 1 species